rnacentral:rRNA from 1 species
CAGCAGCCGCGGUAAUACGGAGGGUGCAAGCGUUAAUCGGAAUUACUGGGCGUAAAGCGCACGCAGGCGGUCUGACAAGUCAGAUGUGAAAUCCCCGGGCUUAACCUGGGAACUGCAUUUGAAACUGUCAGGCUGGAGUCUUGUAGAGGGGGGUGGAAUUCCAGGUGUAGCGGUGAAAUGCGUAGAGAUCUGGAGGAAUACCGGUGGCGAAGGCGGCCCCCUGGACAAAGACUGACGCUUAGGUGCGAAAGCGUGGGGAGCAAACAGGAUUAGAUACCCGCGUAGUCCCUGUCUCUUAUAC